rnacentral:rRNA from 1 species
ACGGAAGGCAGCAGUGGGGAAUAUUGGGCAAUGGGCGCAAGCCUGACCCAGCGACGCCGCGUGAGGGAAGAAGGUCUUCGGAUUGUAAACCUCUUUCAGCAGGGAAGACCAAGAGACGGUACCUGCAGAAGAAGUCACGGCUAACUACGUGCCAGCAGCCGCGGUAAUACGUAGGUGGCGAGCGUUAUCCGGAAUUACUGGGUGUAAAGGGUGUGUAGGCGGAGAAGCAAGUCAGGCGUGAAACUUAUGGGCUCAACCCAUAAACUGCGCUUGAAACUGUUUCCCUUGAGAGUGGGAGAGGUUAACGGAAUUCCUGGUGUAGUAGUGAAAUGCGUAGAUAUCAGGAGGAACACCGGUGGCGAAGGCGGUUAACUAGACCACAACUGACGCUGAGACACGAAAGCGUGGGGAGCAAACAGGAUUAGAUACCCUGGUA